GUUCUCCUAUAGAGAUCCUUCACCUCUUUGGUUAAAUAUAUUUCUGUGUAUUUUAUUAUUAUUUUUGGAGCCAUUGUAAAUGAGAGUGCCUUCUUGAUUUGGUCCUCAGCUAGAUCAUUAUUAGUGUAAAGAAACUCUACUGAUUUCUCUACGUUAAUUUUGUAUCUUAAAAUUACUGAAUUCAUUCAUGAAAUCUAAGAGUUUUUUGGUGGAGUCUUUAGGGUUUUCUAGAUAAAAGAUCAGAUCAUCAAUAAAUAGGGAUAAUUUAACUAAUUUUUUGCCAACUUUGAUGGUUUUUAUUUUUUCUCUUGUACAUCUUUUUAAAGCGUCCUGCUUCUGGCCCAUCAAAAUCAUGUGUGAUUUUUUCAUAGCCAACUUCCAAGGAUUUACCUGGCAGGUCUUAUGAGAGAAAGCUGCCCUGUCCUGACUAAUCUUGGUGUACAGCCAGUGCAUGGCAGUCACUGAAGGGAGUUGCAAUCAAUGACUCAGACCUCUCUGGCCAGCCAUGCUUUUAUGUAUUAAUAUAUUUGCAUUCCUAACCCAGGUGCCUUUACUCAGAGUUUUCUUUAUUUGAGACCUUUGUCCAGAGCCUUUCUCAGGAACUCUUUUAAAUUCAGCUUCAAGAAAGCUUGAAGACACCUUUCUCCACUCUAACUCAGUACUCAGAACUUAUCUACUCCUACCCCUUCCCACUCCUGUCCUCCAACCUCUUGAGUCUGUAAAAUCCCAAGAACCAUUUUUUUCUUUGAGGUUCCUUCAGCAGCAGUGAGACAAGUCCAACAUCUGUACUGAUCCAUCCAACCCUCAACGAGCGUAUUGUUUCAUGAGGGAAAAUGGAGCUGAGGGAAGUUAGGGUUUUUUUCUUUUUUCUUGUUUUUUUUUUUUUGGUUUAGCUUCUUGCUUAUAUCAUCAGGAAAUGAUAACGCCUUGAGUAACACUUUCAUUUUUGGCUUGUUUCUUUGAUUACUCCUACACCUGACAGUUCAGCUGUCUACAGCUCAGUUGAGCUCCUGACAUUUAAGAUAUUUUUUUACUCGGUGUAAAAUUCUACGUUGGAAGUUAUUAUCUUUCAGCAAUUUAAAAUUUAAUUCCAUAGUUUUUGAGCCUCUACUAUGACAUUUUCCCCCAUGGAUUAGUUUGCUUUCAUUUUUUUCCAGCACUUCCUUACAUUUUGGCAGUACAGGGUGCUGUUAAAUCAACUUUAGCUUAAAGCUGCCUCCUUACAUAUUUUAAAUUCAGCCUAAAGGUUUCUCUGUGUAUAGUGAACUAUAACCUAAAUGGAGGUGUAAGCCAACUAUAACCUACUCUUCUGCCAAUCACCGAGUUUUGGCCAAUCAAAUGGGACCAACUGUUCAAACUGCGUUCAAAUACUGUGUUCAAAAACUGUGCUCAAUUAAACUCCUUUAAAUUUAAUUUGGCUAAGGAUUUUCUUCUAAUAGUGCUAUAGGCUCAUCUUGUAUAUUUCCUUUCCCAGUCCUAGAACCAGCACUUUCUUCAAGGAGUCCUGGUUUCUUUUGUUGGAGAAAGGUAUUAGGUGCUAAGUGUGCUCUUUUGCUCUAUCAUGUCUUUUUUUUUCCUCCUCCUGCUUUACUGCAUCCUUUGACAUUAAAUGUUUUCUAAUAUAAUAUUUUAUUUUAUUAUUUUUACUACAUAUUUUUGAGUUGUGAAUCUUAACUUGUCAUAAUCUACUUCUGAUAAGUUAACUGAUACUGUUAUAGUAGUCAGGCAGACAUGAGCAGGGUAGGAGAGUCCCCCUCACCCCCUCACCAGGAAUGUCAGAUGACCAUCAGGUGAUGGUCAGGCAGUUGUUAACUGUCUCUCUAAAAUAAUUGGUUGCAGCCAGCACCAGGGAAAGGCAGUCUCCCAAUAGAUAGAAAAAGCCUGAAACUGAUGAUGAGCAGCUUCCUGAUAACAUCUCAGGAGUUGGGUGAAUGGGCUCACUCAUGUGCACUAAGAGACAAAAUUGUGGUGUUUAACUGGUGUAUGACCUUCUAGGAACAUUCAACUGGUAGGGGAAGAACACCUCAAGUGAGCAUAUGUACAACUCCAGUAAACACACUGUGCAUGCGGCCCCUCCCAAGUGCUGACGGGCCACUGCACUUGUGGACAGUUCACUCCAGUGGAAGAAUCAGGGGAGAAGAGAUGCAGAUCCUGGAAGAACUCCAACAUAUAAAACCCCAAGUCAAAGAUCAAACUGUGCACUUGACUCUCUCAAGUUGCCCACUUGGCCCUUUUUGAAGUAUACUUUACCUCCUUUGAUUCCUACCCUAAAACUUUUUAGUAAAUUUUCACGCCUGCUCUAAAAUUUGCUUUGGUCUCUCACUCUGCCUUAUGCUCCUCAGUCAAAUUCUUUCUUCUGAGGAAGUAAGAAUUGAGGUUGCUGCAGACCCGUACAUACAUACAGAUUUGCUGCUGCUAGCAUACUUUGGUGCCACGUGACUCAGAUACAUUCCCUUAGUGCUAACAAAACUAACUUAAUUCCAGUGAAAUACAGAAAUGUUACUCCUAUAUAACCCCUUUCCCUCUUUUCGUGGUAUUGUCAUACAUAUUAUGUGAUAUCUAUUAUGAAUGCAACAAUGCUUUAUUAUACUUAUGGUGACAUAACAUUUUUAUGUUUUCUACUAAAUCUGAGAGAAGAAAGACAAAACAAGGUGUAUUUAUAGUUUUCGUUAUAUUGAGUUGUAAUUUACCAUUUUUUGGUUGUCUUCAUUUAUUCCCAUGGAUUCUUUAAAUAUUUUUUCUGCUCUUUUCUGUCUUGAACUAUUGGCUGGUUUGAAGUAUUGGCCGGUUUGCUUAAUGGUGUCCCACAUUUCUCUGAAGCUCUAUUCUUUAUUUUUCAUUAUAUUUUUUCUCUCUGUUCUUUGGAUUAAAUAAUCUCUAUCAAUCUGUCUUCAAGUUCAUUAAUUCUUUCUUCUGCCAGUUCAAAUCUACUCGAGUCCCUCUAGUGAAAUUUUUAUUUUAGUUAUUGUACUUUUCAACUCAAGAAUUUUCAUUUGGUUCUUUUUAAUAACUUCUCUUUACUGAUAUUUUCUGUUUGAUGAGACAUUUUCAUCAUACUUUCCCUCCUUAAUAAUGGUUUCUUCUAGUUCUUUGAACACAUUAAGAAUUACUACUUUGAAGUGCCAAUUAAAUCUGAUAUUUGGUUGCUCUCAUAGGCAGUUUCUAUUGCCUGCUUUUUUUUCUCUGUGUAGAUCAGGCUUUACUGUUUCUUUGCAUGUCUCAUAAUUUUUGGUUGGAAAUUUAACACUUCAGAUAAUAUAUUGUAACAACUCUGAGUACCGCUCCACCCACUCUAGGGCUUUUUAUUGUUUACUUCUUUAUUUAUUUAUGGACUGGCUAUAUUAGUGAAAUCUAUCCCUCUCCCCUUCUGUCCUCCCUCUAUCCAAUCCCUCAAGCAGUGUGAAACCUCUGUUGUUGUUCCUAAGAGGAUAUACCCUUGGGUAUGUCCAUAGUCACUCUUUCUGUGAUGACAGUAAUUUUUGUAGGUCUCUCUUUGAUCAUCUCUUUCCCUGAUCACACCCAGCUGUUAAACUCCACUACUUGCUGGCUGAUUGCUCUAUUGCUUACAACAAUGCACUGUGGAAUAAAUUACUUUACAAACUUAUACAAUUACAUUUAUAGUUCUUUGUAGGGAUAGUUUUUGUGAUGUUUGGGAUUGGUCUUUUAUAUUCUUCUUAAAAAGGAAUAUCAAAGGACAUACUGUGAAUUAAGAAAUGUAUUCGAGAAAAUUUACUAAAAUUUGGCAACGACAGCAAGAGACUGUGGUAUCUGAACUGCAACCAGACAGCAUGAUAGAAAUUCCACUCCAGGCUGCUGCAGUCAAGUACAUAGGGUUUGCUGUGUCCCCAGCAACCCGUCGGAGGGCUAUAGUAUCUUCCCAGGAGAGGUAGGACAUCAGCAUUUCUCAUUCUAUCCCCAGCUACCUGUUGCAGAAUGUAUGUUUUGGGUGAGUGUUGGCAAAAGGUAGGGCUCCCUUCUUCUACUGAGUCCCCUGUCAGAGGAUAAAGACUCUACCUCGGGUAUACCAGAUCACCUCUACCCAGCUCAUAAGGCCUAGGUUUCAUACCAAGAGAAGCAAUCCAAAAAGACCUGAGACUACUAACUGUCCCCUACCCCCAGGGCACUUAGCUCUUAAAGGAGGCGUGUCACAUGGAAAAAAGAACACCUCUUUUCCUGUUUCCAGGUCUAGAGACAGCUCAGAGAUUUUGCCCUUGGGGAAAGUCAAGUCUUAAUACAGAGCUAGUUCCAAAUCUCUUUUCAAAAGAACUGACUGUUUGCAAUAGAGUGUCAGGAACUUCAGGCCUGAAGACAUUGUCAGAAACAAUGGCGGUUAUGGAGAAAAGCAAAUAAGAGGUGACUGGUAGAUUCACUAGGGGACUCUGUGGGUAUCUUAGAUUUAAUUUUCAUCAAUUUUGAUUUAAAAU
rnacentral:lncRNA from 10 species